rnacentral:rRNA from 1 species
UACGUAGGGGGCAAGCGUUGUCCGGAAUCAUUGGGCGUAAAGCGCGUGUAGGCGGCUCGGUAAGUCCGCUCUGAAAGUCCAGGGCUCAACCCUGGGAUGCGGGUGGAUACUGCCGGGCUCGAGUCCGGAAGAGGCGAGUGGAAUUCCCGGUGUAGCGGUGAAAUGCGCAGAUAUCAGGAGGAACACCGGUGGCGAAGGCGGGUCUCUGGGCCGAUACUGACGCUGAGGAGCGAAAGCGUGGGGAGCGAACAGG